UACGUAGGGUGCGAGCGUUGUCCGGAAUUACUGGGCGUAAAGAGCUCGUAGGUGGUUUGUCGCGUUGUUCGUGAAAACUCACAACUCAAUUGUGGGCGUGCGGGCGAUACGGGCAGACUGGAGUACUGCAGGGGAGACUGGAAUUCCUGGUGUAGCGGUGGAAUGCGCAGAUAUCAGGAGGAACACCGGUGGCGAAGGCGGGUCUCUGGGCAGUAACUGACGCUGAGAAGCGAAAGCGUGGGGAGCGAACAGG
rnacentral:rRNA from 1 species